rnacentral:rRNA from 1 species
UGGGGAAUAUUGGACAAUGGGCGCAAGCCUGAUCCAGCCAUGCCGCGUGAGUGAUGAAGGCCCUAGGGUUGUAAAGCUCUUUCGGCGGGGAAGAUAAUGACGGUACCCGCAGAAGAAGCCCCGGCAAACUUCGUGCCAGCAGCCGCGGUAAUACGAAGGGGGCUAGCGUUGCUCGGAAUUACUGGGCGUAAAGCGCACGUAGGCGGAUUCUUAAGUCAGGGGUGAAAUCCCGGAGCUCAACUCCGGAACUGCCUUUGAUACUGAGAGUCUCGAGUCCGGGAGAGGUGAGUGGAACUCCGAGUGUAGAGGUGAAAUUCGUAGAUAUUCGGAAGAACACCAGUGGCGAAGGCGGCUCACUGGCCCGGUACUGACGCUGAGGUGCGAAAGCGUGGGGAGCAAACAGG